CCUUGUUUGUGUCAGUAGCCUAGCCCCUCUGCUGAUGCUUAGCAAAUAUAAAAGAAAUCCCACAAUGGCUUUCCAUCUUUAGGUGGUAAAAAGUAUGCUUACCCUUUUGCAUGGCUUUGCUCUUGAUAUAAAAUCCAACUGCAUUUUGGGCCAUAUACUGUUAUUUAUGCUAAUCUAUUUUAACAUUUCUCUUCAGAAGGGGAAAAAUAAGUCACAUUGCACUCUGAUAACCAAAUGGUGUUUGAGUACUUCUGGGUAAUGUUACCAAAAGUUACAUAAUCACCUUAAUCCUGUUAUGCAAGCCUGAUG